GUCUACGGCCAUGCUACCCUUAACAAGCCUAAUCCUGUCUAAUCUCGGAAGCUAAGCAGGGUCAAGCCUGGUUAGUACUUAAAUGGGAGACCACCUGGGAAGACCAGAUGCUGUAGGAG
rnacentral:rRNA from 1 species